rnacentral:tRNA from 1 species
GGGGAUGUAGCUCAGAUAGUAGAGCGCUCGCUUAGCAUGCAAGAGGUACGGGGAUUGAUACCCGCAUCUCCA